GUUAUCUCUGAGGGCAUCGAGUCUCAUUCUCUCCUCAAUCUUAAAUCUGAGAAAGCAAGCUCAAAGAAGUUAAGUAUUGAACUAGCCCAGGGCCAUUUAUUCAUUCUAGGAAAAAAAUAGAUUUUUUUUUUCUGACUUUCGUCAUGGAUAAUCCGUGCUAAUAAAGAUGAGAAAAUUGGCUGAUUUUUAAGAAAUCUUUUCUAAGGAAGUUACAGUAUGUAACUUGUUCUCUAGUCUUCCAGUUUGCAAGCUCUUAAUAGUAGUUAUACUCUCAACUUGUUUGUCCUGCAGAUAAUGCCUGAUGUCGUUACGAUUUUGAAGACUCCUCACACCAGCAUCUCCCCUACCUGCCAUUGAUUUUUUUUGAGGACUCAGAAAAUACUCGCUUGACCAUUGAACAUGGGAGUUGAGGCCUUUCCCUGUUGAGCAUUGAAAGUCUGGCUGCUGCCAGGAAACCCAGGAUCUGAAAGCACUACAUAAAGGGAGUCUGAGAAUUUCAUUAAUCAACCAUUGGACAAGUAUUCCAACUCAUCUUGCCGUCAGGAUGCUUAAGAGUCAAAAUCUCUUAAGGAAACCCCUCCAGCUACCUUUCCAUGUGUGUGCGCGCGCAUGCAUUUCCCCUUGGUAAAACUGGAAUUGUAUAAGAACACAGCAGCUCCUUCCCUGAAUUAAAAGAAUAAGAGAAUCAAUGAAGUUAAAGACAGAAUGCAUUCUUUAGGGCCACACAUAAAGCCACGCUUAGAGAAUAACUAUUUUUGUAACACUGUAUGAGGGAGGACCGCCACCCCCGGACCCUCACGAAAACUGGAGUACAGGCUUCCUGCUGGGUCAGUCCCUCCCCGUCUCAGUCCAGAGGGGCAGAAAGGGCUAUUGCUCCACAAAGGGUUCGCGAGCCCCAUGAUGCCCAUGAGAGGACGGAGGGGUCCUGCACGUGGGGCGGUCAGACGCCCGCCCGCAGUCCCCGGGACAGAGCGCCUGGUCACAUCUCAAGACUGCGUUCAGCUAUGAAAGGUAACAUCAUCAGAGAAUAA